CAUGCAAGUCGAACGAAGCAUUUGCGACAGAUUUCUUCGGGAUGAAGUUGCUUAUGACUGAGUGGCGGACGGGUGAGUAACGCGUGGGUAACCUGCCUUGUACUGGGGGAUAGCAGCUGGAAACGGCUGGUAAUACCGCAUAAGCGCACAAUGUUGCAUGACAUGGUGUGAAAAACUCCGGUGGUAUCAGAUGGACCCGCGUCUGAUUAGCUAGUUGGUGAGAUAACAGCCCACCAAGGCGACGAUCAGUAGCCGACCUGAGAGGGUGACCGGCCACAUUGGGACUGAGACACGGCCCAGACUCCUACGGGAGGCAGCAGUGGGGAAUAUUGCACAAUGGAGGAAACUCUGAUGCAGCGACGCCGCGUGAGUGAAGAAGUAAUUCGUUAUGUAAAGCUCUAUCAGCAGGGAAGAUAGUGACGGUACCUGACUAAGAAGCUCCGGCUAAAUACGUGCCAGCAGCCGCGGUAAUACGUAUGGAGCAAGCGUUAUCCGGAUUUACUGGGUGUAAAGGGAGUGUAGGUGGCCAUGCAAGUCAGAAGUGAAAAUCCGGGGCUCAACCCCGGAACUGCUUUUGAAACUGUAAGGCUAGAGUGCAGGAGGGGUGAGUGGAAUUCCUAGUGUAGCGGUGAAAUGCGUAGAUAUUAGGAGGAACACCAGUGGCGAAGGCGGCUCACUGGACU
rnacentral:rRNA from 1 species